ACCCUUUCAAGAAUUACGGGGAAAGGAAAAGAUUUAAGUUUUCAUAGGCAUAUCAUAACAAAAUGAAAGAAAAAAGUUUUUUUUAUUAUUUGUUUUAAAAGAAAAACUGUCCAUUUCAAAAGACCAGCUUACACGUGCGUACACGUAAGUGGAGAGAAUCCGCAGGUAGAGUUGGGUCCUGUCGUCCAUACCUUUUUGGCUAAAUUAUCCAUACCUUUUUAAUUCAAAAUUUAGCCGGCCGGAUGCACUUUAAAUUUAGCCACGGCCUCUAAGCACAGCC
rnacentral:lncRNA from 1 species